rnacentral:sRNA from 1 species
CAAGUAUAUAUUUAAUUAUUAAAAUGACAUUGCUAAUUUCAUUCGAAUAAAACUGUUCCAAUACUCACAAGGUGGUAAUGACUGCGUCUUAGAUCAUAACACUCCUCACGUCCACAAAGUCACGCGCAGCUGGAUGAUAUAAAUAGUCGCCGAGCAUGUCCUUGGUCCUGAUGCAAUGUUCUGGUCAAAUGACUCGCGCGACAUGACCGCUGCCUUCCCAACGGCCAGGCUGUGGCAAGGAGAUCGGAAAAUAAGAGGCUCGCCAUUCUUUUAAGCAAAUAACCUUAAAUCGAGCCGUUUCACGUGCUUAAGCAGUUUCUAUCGAUCGAAAAAUAGAGAUGGAUACACACGUCCACUAAUCGCGGAAAUAUCGAUAAAUAUCGAACACACAUCGAUAACAGUCGCAAUAUACAUCCAACUCGCUUGGCAAACGAAGCGAUGAGUAUUCAUUCAGACUAAUCGAUAGCAAUUACAGGAGCAGCAACAUUUCGUCUAAAAGGACCAAUAAGGAAUCUUUAGAUUAGGCAAAAGUCAAAAUGGAAACUAUCAAUUUGUAGCCGCAACUUAAUUAGCUGAUUGCUUACUGACUGCCAAAAAACAAAGCGUCAACUCCCCCAUUCAAUGAAUUAUUCAAUAGAAGAGUAAAUGCAUGGUCAAGAGCAAAAUAAAAAAAGGAAUAAAUGUU